ensembl:lncRNA
GCCAUCUUCACUUUAGUUUCACGCGCACACGCGCUCGAGCACUCACGUUCGCGUUUAAUCAUUCACAUUCUGUAAAUCCCGUUCCUUGUGGUUAAACAUGGAACAAUGUUAUCUUUGUAAGUGAAUUCUGCAGAGGAAGACCAGAAUAGGCUCAUCAUUUAAGGAAGAAGAGAGUGAUGGAUGGAUGAGGAGAUGAGAUCAGCUAUUCUUUAAGGACGACUUUCUGGAAAACAGCCAGGGAAGCCAGGACAACAUAUCACAGGCACCGGAAACACCAGAGACACAGCCCAUCUCACCAGACACAUUAUUCCUC